AUUGAACGCUGGCGGCAGGCCUAACACAUGCAAGUCGAGCGAGCGGCGGACGGGUGAGUAAUGUCUGGGAAACUGCCUGCUGGAGGGGGGUAACUACUGGAAACGGUAGCUAAUACCGCAUACCAUCAGAUGUGCCCAGAUGGGAUUAGCUAGUAGGUGGGGUAACGGCUAACCUAGGCGACGAUCCCUAGCUGGUCUGAGAGGAUGACCAGCCAACCUGGAACUGAGACACGGUCCAUCCUCCUACGGUAGGCAGCAGUGGGGGAUAUUGCACAAUGGGCUCAAGCCUGAUGCAGCCAUGCCGCGUGUGUGUAGAAGGCCUUCGGGUUGUAAAGCACUUUCAGCGGGGAGGCGUUACCCGCAGAAGAAGCACCGGCUAACUCCGUGCCAGCAGCCGCGGUAAUUC
rnacentral:rRNA from 1 species